AGUGAACGCUGGCGGUAGGCCUAACACAUGCAAGUCGAACGGCAGCACAGUAAGAGCUUGCUCUUACGGGUGGCGAGUGGCGGACGGGUGAGGAAUACAUCGGAAUCUACUUUUUCGUGGGGGAUAACGUAGGGAAACUUACGCUAAUACCGCAUACGACCUACGGGUGAAAGCAGGGGAUCUUCGGACCUUGCGCGAUUGAAUGAGCCGAUGUCGGAUUAGCUAGUUGGCGGGGUAGAGGCCCACCAAGGCGACGAUCCGUAGCUGGUCUGAGAGGAUGAUCAGCCACACUGGAACUGAGACACGGUCCAGACUCCUACGGGAGGCAGCAGUGGGGAAUAUUGGACAAUGGGCGCAAGCCUGAUCCAGCCAUACCGCGUGGGUGAAGAAGGCCUUCGGGUUGUAAAGCCCUUUGUUGGGAAAGAAAAGCAGCAGGUUAAUACCCCGCUGUUCUGACGGUACCCAAAGAAUAAGCACCGGCUAACUUCGUG
rnacentral:rRNA from 1 species